UGCAGGUGAUGUUAUAAUAUUUGCUAUCAGAGUACUGCGUGCUGAUAUACCCACCAAGAUCGCUGAUGCA
rnacentral:snoRNA from 1 species